AGAGAGUAGCUGUGGUCUCCUGCGUGCUCACCCUCUGCUCCCUUGGUCCUGCUCCAUGCUUUGGUCCUGCACUUAAAUUUUACAAGCAUACUCUCUUUCUCUUAAGCUCGGCAGCACUCAGAUGGCUCUUGAAAAUCUUUGAGAUAUAAUCUGAAAGGAGGUCCCAGUUUCUGCCCCGGGCUGUUUGCAUCAUCAACCUGCAAAAUUCCAAUCUUGGAACUUGCUGAGAUUUUCAUUCUGAGACUCUCUGCCCUGGGCCUUGAGGAUAGCCAGAAGAAUACUAUAUUUCUUCUGCCUCUCUUUCUCUUUCUAUCUAAAGAGGUCAGGAUUAUAUAUCCACUUUGCUGAAUAUAGAAUCAAACCCAAUUGCCAUCAGCAAGUGCUGUAUAUCACCUACCACACCUGGGACCAGGCAUCAACAAGACCUUGACAGGGCCAGAAGCCUCAAGCCCUCAUUGCCAAGCCCAUUAAAAUCAGGAACUCAAUCUCAUUAAGGAAGGAGUGCAAUGGAUAUAGCCAGACAGGAGGAUUUCCACUUCAGUAUUAUCCUGAAUAGUGAACAACCAUCUCUGCUUUUCUCAGGGAGAAAGAUGUGGUAACAGUCACAAUGAUAGUAGACGAUGGUGACUGUUUAAUUUGUCAUGGCUAACAUAUAUGGUUAGCAAAUUGAGUUUCCUUUUAGGUAUAGUCUGAAUUGAACUGAAGUUCAUUAUAAUUCCCCUAAGUUGAUCUGUGAGGGCAUUUUAGCCUUCUUGGUAAAAUUAAAUAAUAUCAGUCAAAAAGGCUGUUAAACCAAUUCUUACACUUGAAAGCUUCCAGUUAUUCUAAUAAUUUGGAAUCUGUGUCUCCCCCUCUGUGGCAAUGAGGCUGUUGCUUGCUUUUCCCAAGAGACUGUAUUGCAUCUUUCUUGUUUUCUGAGAUGAGAAACAACCUCAAGGUCAUGCCCAGUGAUAUGGUUUGGCUCUGUGCCCCCACCCAAAUCUCAUCCCGAAUUGUAAUCCCCACAUGUCGGAGGAGGGGCUUGGUGGGAGGUGACUGGAUUAUGGGGGUGUAUUUACCCCUUGUUUUCAUGAUAGUGAGUUCUCAUGAGAUUUGAUGGUUUAAAACUGUGUGGCACCGCCCCCUGCAAGCUCCCUCUCUCUCCUGCCACCAAGUAAGACGUGCCUUGCUUCUUCUUUGCCUUCUGCCAUGAUUGUAAGUUUUCUGAGGCUUCCCCAGCCAUGCAGAACUGUGUGUCAAUUAAACCUUUUUUCUUUAUAAAUUA
rnacentral:lncRNA from 10 species